UAUCACUACUACAAAUAAUAAAAAAAAAAUUACUGCCCACACUGCAGAUAACAAAAAAGGCAGUAAAACUUACCAGUAAGCGUUCUUCAAUAAAGUGUUGGGAUUUAACACCAACAUUUUGAAGUUUAUGCACGGGUGAUUUUGGUAUCAACUUCACUCCAAAUCAAUUAAUCCGUAAUUGGCGACGAAAACCUUUUUUUGCACAAUUUUAAAACCGACAUUAUUUAAAUAAUUACGAAACCGACAAUUAUUUCAUACAUUUCGGCAUUAUCUACGCUUCACAGUGAAUAUGCGCGGUUAUUGCUUCAGUCGGUAUAAACGAACUUUAUCAUCGUUGUUUUACGCACGAGAAUAUUACACCAAAGUUCAGUAAAGAGUGACAUUCGUAUGAGGUUCGAUUUUAACAACUGCUGUACAUUCUUAGUCUUACAAAGCCGAGUAAGUAGUUCACAUUGAAAUUUCCUUUGAAUAUGUGCGCGUUCAAUUAGCAAUAAACAUAUUGUGAAUGACAUUCGAAGUGUGCUGAUUAAAAUAUUCUCGAAGUGUUCACUGAAUGAUGAAUGAUGUGCUUUCGACUGAGAACUUCACUGAACUAUAAGGUAUGAUAAUGUAGCGCAUGUUUUAAUUGACGAUUGAAGGUUUUCAUCCGCUGCAAAUAUGACGAAAAGAAAAUUUUGUGAUGAACCCAAAAAAGGAGGAAUUCUUGUGUGUUUACUCAAAGAUUAUGGACUGUCUUGGAGAACUGGUGCUUGCUUACCUUAAACUUCUUCAACACCUUUCACGGCGCGACGCAAUUUCCAUAAACGACAAGUGGUGAAUGCAAUGUUUGGAUGCGUGCGUGCGUCUCUGAACUUGUGCGAACACUAUGAAUGUUGACAGAGUAAAUACUUUCAAAUCGAGUUCAGAGGCGGCAAUCAAUUUAAUUCUAACUGCAUCACAACAGGAUUAAAACGUUUGAAUGUUUUAUUGUGCAUUGAAAAUGUUUACAUUGUGAAUCCAUUGAUUUUUCUUUUAUGGCAAGCACUCCUUAACUGUUAUGUGAAUUAAAGUGAGUAAUAUUUGCGUUUUGACACAUUUUAUAUGUUAAAAUACAAAUUAUAUUAAAUGUAUAUUGAUUAUGGUA